rnacentral:rRNA from 1 species
GCCUACCAUGCAAGUCGAGCGGUAGCACAGGGAGCUUGCUCCUGGGUGACGAGCGGCGGACGGGUGAGUAAUGUCUGGGAAACUGCCUGAUGGAGGGGGAUAACUACUGGAAACGGUAGCUAAUACCGCAUAACGUCGCAAGACCAAAGAGGGGGACCUUCGGGCCUCUUGCCAUCAGAUGUGCCCAGAUGGGAUUAGCUAGUAGGUGGGGUAAUGGCUCACCUAGGCGACGAUCCCUAGCUGGUCUGAGAGGAUGACCAGCCACACUGGAACUGAGACACGGUCCAGACUCCUACGGGAGGCAGCAGUGGGGAAUAUUGCACAAUGGGCGCAAGCCUGAUGCAGCCAUGCCGCGUGUAUGAAGAAGGCCUUCGGGUUGUAAAGUACUUUCAGCGAGGAGGAAGGCAUUGUGGUUAAUAACCACAGUGAUUGACGUUACUCGCAGAAAAGCACCGGCUAACUCCGUGCCAGCGCCGCGGUAAU